GUGGGGAAUAUUGGACAAUGGGCGAAAGCCUGAUCCAGCCAUGCCGCGUGUGUGAAGAAGGUCUUCGGAUUGUAAAGCACUUUAAGUUGGGAGGAAGGGCAGUAAGUUAAUACCUUGCUGUUUUGACGUUACCGACAGAAUAAGCACCGGCUAACUUCGUGCCAGCAGCCGCGGUAAUACGAAGGGUGCAAGCGUUAAUCGGAAUUACUGGGCGUAAAGCGCGCGUAGGUGGUUUUGUAAGUUGGAGGUGAAAUCCCCGGGCUCAACCUGAGAACUGCCUCCAAAACUGCAUGACUAGAGUACGGUAGAGGGUAGUGGAAUUUCCUGUGUAGCGGUGAAAUGCGUAGAUAUAGGAAGGAACACCAGUGGCGAAGGCGACUACCUGGACUGAUACUGACACUGAGGUGCGAAAGCGUGGGGAGCAAACAGGAUUAGAUACCCCGGUAGUCC
rnacentral:rRNA from 1 species